rnacentral:lncRNA from 1 species
GUGCACCGGGGGGAAACCCCCGCCUCGGUCGGUGGAUCGGGGGGAGCCUCGUCUCCCCGGUUGCCUGCGGGAGAAGAAGGGGAGGAGACAGUGGGUUUCGGAGGGGGGACAAAAGGGGUCGGAGGCUAGGGUCUCGGCGAAAACAAAGAAGAAAGAAAGAGAAAGAGAGAGAGAAGGAGAGGGAGUGACCGAGAGGGAGAAGGCCACAGAUCUGGCCGGAGGAGAAGGAGGGGGCCGGAGGACCGGCCGGAGGCGUGGGUUCCGGUGAGAACGAAGGAGAGAAGAGGGAGAAAGAGAGCCGGAGGAGAGAGGGAGGCAACGGAGAUGAAGAGGCGGAAGCCUCUAGAAGGGGGGAGAAAGGAAAAUAGUAACGGGUUUGCGGGUCGGAUCCGAACCCGCAACCCGUUAAGCUUAAAUAAAUAAAUAUAUAUAUAUAUGUAUAUAUGUGUGUGUAUAUAUAAAAUUGAAAUGGGUUAAGUAAACCCAAUUAAACCGGACCCAAUCUAGUUGGGUGAACCCGGAUGAGGGAUUGAGUGGGAUCUGAACCCAAUUGGACCCAAUUAAACUUGGGAUUAAGCCUAAUGACCAAUUAGAAGGCCAAUUAAACCAUAUGGACCCAAUCAAGGCUCCAAUAUGAACACAUUAGACUUGGGCUAAAUUUCGGAUAGAAUCCAAGCAAGUAAAAGGAAAUAAUAUGCUCAUUAUAAUGUGAUUUUAGGUGACUCAGGAUCCGUCACCAGGACGUAAGAAACUUGGGAGAAAACGAAUCAC